AUGGUUGCAACUAUAAUGGCUUCAAGUGAAAGGCUUGCUGUUGCCAUUGAGAAACUUGCUACCGACGUCAACCCCGCUAUUGAUGGUCUUUGGGAUGAGAUGAAAGAACUCCCUGGCUUUGAUGUGGAUUCCCUUGCUCAUUACUAUGCCUAUUUGGUUGACAAUCCUCGUGUUGCAACGGCAUUGAAGGUUCUGGGGGUGUUCAAAGAAAGGUUUGGGUCGCUAGGUAUGUGA
rnacentral:rRNA from 1 species